rnacentral:rRNA from 1 species
AACGUAGGUCACAAGCGUUGUCCGGAAUUACUGGGUGUAAAGGGAGCGCAGGCGGGAAGACAAGUUGGAAGUGAAAUCUAUGGGCUCAACCCAUAAACUGCUUUCAAAACUGUUUUUCUUGAGUAGUGCAGAGGUAGGCGGAAUUCCCGGUGUAGCGGUGGAAUGCGUAGAUAUCGGGAGGAACACCAGUGGCGAAGGCGGCCUACUGGGCACAAACUGACGCUGAGGCUCGAAAGUGUGGGUAGCAAACAGG